AACGAACGCUGGCGGCAUGCCUAACACAUGCAAGUCGAACGAGACCUUCGGGUCUAGUGGCGCACGGGUGCGUAACGCGGGGGAACCUGCCCUUAGGUUCGGAAUAACUCCCCGAAAGGGGUGCUAAUACCGGAUAAUGUCUUCGGACCAAAGAUUUAUCGCCUUUGGAUGGGCCCGCGUUGGAUUAGCUAGUUGGUAGGGUAAAAGCCUACCAAGGCGACGAUCCAUAGCUGGUCUGAGAGGAUGAUCAGCCACACUGGGACUGAGACACGGCCCAGACUCCUACGGGAAGCAGCAGUGGGGAAUAUUGGACAAUGGGCGAAAGCCUGAUCCAGCAAUGCCGCGUGAGUGAUGAAGGCCUUAGGGUUGUAAAGCUCUUUUACCCGGGAUGAUAAUGACAGUACCGGGAGAAUAAGCUCCGGCUAACUCCGUG
rnacentral:rRNA from 1 species